rnacentral:rRNA from 1 species
CCUACGGGGGGCAGCAGUGAGGAAUAUUGGUCAAUGGACGCGAGUCUGAACCAGCCAAGCCGCGUGCAGGAAGACGGCUCUAUGUGUUGUAAACCUCUUUUGUACGAGAACAAACGCUGGUACGUGUCCCUGUCUGAGUGUAUCGUACGAAAAAGCAUCGGCUAACUCCGUGCCAGCAGCCGCGGUAAUACGGAGGAUUCAAGCGUUAUCCGGAUUUAUUGGGUUUAAAGGGUGCGUAGGCGGUCGGUUAAGUCAGCGGUGAAAUCCCGGGGCUCAACCCCGGACUUGCCUUUGAUACUGUCAGGCUAGAGUGGGAGAGAGGUAGGCGGAAUGUGCGGUGUAGCGGUGAAAUGCAUAGAUAUCGCGCAGAACUCCGAUUGCGAAGGCAGCUUACCGGGCCCACACUGACGCUGAGGCACGAAAGCGUGGGGAUCGAACAGGAUUAGAUACCCUUGUAGUC